AGCAUUGAAACACCGGUCCCUGUAUGAUCACUGAAGUUAAGCAACAUUGAGCCUGGUCAGUACUUAUUUAGGAGACUGCUUGUGAAUACCAGGUGCUGUAA